rnacentral:rRNA from 1 species
AGAGUUUGAUCCUGGCUCAGAACGAACGCUGGCGGCAGGCUUAACACAUGCAAGUCGAGCGCUGUAGCAAUACAGAGCGGCGCACGGGAGAGUAAUACAUGGGAACCUACCUUUUGGUUGGAAUAACGUCGGGAAACUGACGCUAAUACCGGAUACGUCCUUCGGGAGAAAGAUUUAUCGCCGAUAGAUGGGCCCAUGUUGGAUUAGCUAGUUGGUGAGGUAAUGGCUCACCAAGGCAACGAUCCAUAGCUGGUCUGAGAGGAUGAUCAGCCUCACUGGGACUGAGACACGGCCCAGACUCCUACGGGAGGCAGCAGUGGGGAAUAUUGGACAAUGGGGGCAACCCUGAUCCAGCCAUGCCGCGUGAAUGAUGAAGGCCUUCGGGUUGUAAAGUUCUUUUGGCGGGGACGAUGAUGACGGUACCCGCAGAAUAAGCUCCGGCUAACUUCGUGCCAGCAGCCGCGGUAAUACGAAGGGAGCUAGCGUUGUUCGGAAUUACUGGGCGUAAAGGGCGCGUAGGUGGCUUGGCAAGUUGGAUGUGAAAGCCCAGGGCUCAACCCUGGAAUUGCAUUCAAGACUGCCUUGCUUGAAUUCGGUAGAGGUUGGUGGAAUUCCCAGUGUAGAGGUGAAAUUCGUAGAGAUUGGGAAGAACACCCGUGGCGAAGGCGGCCAACUGGACCGACAUUGACACUGAGGCGCGAAAGCGUGGGGAUCAAACAGGAUUAGAUACCCUAGUAGUCC